UACAGAGGUCUCAAGCGUUGUUCGGAUUCAUUGGGCGUAAAGCGCGUGUAGGCGGCUCGGUAAGUGGGUCGUGAAAGCGCCCGGCUAAACUGGGCGAGGACGAUCGAGACUGCCAGGCUUGAGGGUGGUAGAGGGACAGGGAAUUCCGGGUGUAGCGGUGAAAUGUGUAGAGAUCCGGAGGAACACCAGUGGCGAAGGCGCUGUCCUGGGCCACCUCUGACGCUGAUACGCGAAGGCGUGGGGAGCGAACGGG
rnacentral:rRNA from 1 species